rnacentral:rRNA from 1 species
GAGGAGCUUGCUCUUCUUGGAUGAGUUGCGAACGGGUGAGUAACGCGUAUGUAACCUGCCUUGUAGCGGGGGAUAACUAUUGGAAACGAUAGCUAAUACCGCAUAACAAUGGAUGACCCAUGUCAUUUAUUUGAAAGGGGCAAAUGCUCCACUACAAGAUGGACCUGCGUUGUAUUAGCUAGUAGGUGAGGUAACGGCUCACCUAGGCGACGAUACAUAGCCGACCUGAGAGGGUGAUCGGCCACACUGGGACUGAGACACGGCCCAGACUCCUACGGGAGGCAGCAGUAGGGAAUCUUCGGCAAUGGGGGCAACCCUGACCGAGCAACGCCGCGUGAGUGAAGAAGGUUUUCGGAUCGUAAAGCUCUGUUGUAAGUCAAGAACGAGUGUGAGAGUGGAAAGUUCACACUGUGACGGUAGCUUACCAGAAAGGGACGGCUAACUACGUGCCAGCAGCCGCGGUAAUACGUAGGUCCCGAGCGUUGUCCGGAUUUAUUGGGCGUAAAGCGAGCGCAGGCGGUUUGAUAAGUCUGAAGUUAAAGGCUGUGGCUCAACCAUAGUUCGCUUUGGAAACUGUCAAACUUGAGUGCAGAAGGGGAGAGUGGAAUUCCAUGUGUAGCGGUGAAAUGCGUAGAUAUAUGGAGGAACACCGGUGGCGAAAGCGGCU